ACGGGUGAGUAACGCGUGGGAAUCUACCUAGUUCUACGGAACAACACAGGGAAACUUGUGCUAAUACCGUAUACGCCCUACGGGGGAAAGAUUUAUCGGAAUUAGAUGAGCCCGCGUAAGAUUAGCUAGUUGGUGGGGUAAUGGCCUACCAAGGCGACGAUCUUUAGCUGGUCUGAGAGGAUGAUCAGCCACACUGGGACUGAGACACGGCCCAGACCCCUACGGGAGGCAGCAGUGGGGAAUAUUGGACAAUGGGCGCAAGCCUGAUCCAGCCAUGCCGCGUGAGUGAUGAAGGCCUUAGGGUUGUAAAGCUCUUUCAGUGGGGACGAUAAUGACGGUACCCACAGAAGAAGCCCCGGCUAACUUCGUGCCAGCAGCCGCGGUAAUACGAAGGGGGCUAGCGUUGUUCGGAUUUACUGGGCGUAAAGCGCACGUAGGCGGAUCGUUAAGUCGGGGGUGAAAUCCUGGAGCUCAACUCCAGAACUGCCUUCGAUACUGGCGAUCUUGAGUCCGGAAGAGGUGAGUGGAACUCCUAGUGUAGAGGUGGAAUUCGUAGA
rnacentral:rRNA from 1 species